rnacentral:rRNA from 2 species
UCGAACGACUCUGGUAUUGCUUGGUGCUUGCAUCAUGAUUUACAUUUGAGAGAAUGGCGAACUGGUGAGUAACACGUGGGAAACCUGCCCAUAAGCGGGGGAUAACACCUGGAAACAGAUGCUAAUACCGCAUAACAACUUGGACCGCAUGGUCCGAGUUUGAAAGAUGGCUUCAGCUAUCACUUUUGGAUGGUCCCGCGGCGUAUUAGCUAGAUGGUGGGGUAACGGCUCACCAUGGCAAUGAUACGUAGCCGACCUGAGAGGGUAAUCGGCCACAUUGGGACUGAGACACGGCCCAAACUCCUACGGGAGGCAGCAGUAGGGAAUCUUCCACAAUGGACGAAAGUCUGAUGGAGCAACACCGCGUGAGUGAAGAAGGGUUUCGGCUCGUAAAACUCUGUUGUUAAAGAAGAACAUAUCUGAGAGUAACUGUUCAGGUAUUGACGGAAUUUAACCAGAAAACCUCGGCUAACUACAUGCCAGCAACCGCGGUAAUACGUAAGUGGCAAGCGUUGUCCGGAUUUAUUGGGCGUAAAGCGAGCGCAGGCGGUUUUUUAAGUCUGAUGUGAAAGCCUUCGGCUCAACCGAAGAAGUGCAUCGGAAACUGGGAAACUUGAGUGCAGAAGAGGACAGUGGAACUCCAUGUGUAGCGGUGAAAUGGGUAGAUAUUAUGGAAGAACACCAGUGGCGAAGGCGGCUGUCUGGUCUGUAACUGACGCUGAGGCUCGAAAGUAUGGGUAGCAAACAGGAUUAGAUACCCUGGUAGUCCAUACCGUAAACGAUGAAUGCUAAGUGUUGGAGGGUUUCCGCCCUUCAGUGCUGCAGCUAACGCAUUAAGCAUUCCGCCUGGGGAGUACGGCCGCAAGGCUGAAACUCAAAGGAAUUGACGGGGGCCCGCACAAGCGGUGGAGCAUGUGGUUUAAUUCGAAGCUACGCGAAGAACCUUACCAGGUCUUGACAUACUAUGCAAAUCUAAGAGAUUAGACGUUCCCUUCGGGGACAUGGAUACAGGUGGUGCAUGGUUGUCGUCAGCUCGUGUCGUGAGAUGUUGGGUUAAGUCCCGCAACGAGCGCAACCCUUAUUAUCAGUUGCCAGCAUUAAGUUGGGCACUCUGGUGAGACUGCCGGUGACAAACCGGAGGAAGGUGGGGAUGACGUCAAAUCAUCAUGCCCCUUAUGACCUGGGCUACACACGUGCUACAAUGGAUGGUACAACGAGUUGCGAACUCGCGAGAGUAAGCUAAUCUCUUAAAGCCAUUYUCAGUUCGGAUUGUAGGCUGCAACUCGCCUACAUGAAGUCGGAAUCGCUAGUAAUCGCGGAUCAGCAUGCCGCGGUGAAUACGUUCCCGGGCCUUGUACACACCGCCCGUCACACCAUGAGAGUUUGUAACACCCAAAGUCGGUGGGGUAACCUUUUAGGAACCAGCCGCCUAAGGUGGGACAGAUGAUUAGGGUGAAGUCGAACAAG